GACAUAGAGAAAGAGGGUAAGAAAAAGCCCUCCCUUGCUUCAAGAAGCGAUAGCAGGUAUGUGCAUUUUCUGCUCUCCAAUUUGCAGAUGGUUUCUAAAAGAGGAUCAAAAUGUGCUCCCUUUCGUAAUGGCCCUCUUAAGGAAGAAGACACACUUGUCAGACGAACAAAGCCUGAUUUUUCUCAAUGCCACCUCCAGUCAUUCUGCUCAAGUAGUUGUUGUCGACCACUCAACCUUUUAUUUUUUAUUAACCUAGAAAUGCAAUAGAAAGCGUGAUGCCAGGUCAGGCCAAAUACAAAAGGUUUAUUAACAAAUAGGGAUCACAGUGUUGUUCCUGAGUGUAACUAAAUACUACAGUGACCAGGGCCGGAUUUAGGUUUGAUGAGGCCCGAAGCUACUAAAGGUAAUGGGGCCCUUUAUAUGUCCAGCUGUCCUUUGUCAACAACAAAUUGCCGCUGUUUUUUAUGUUGAAUAUAUGCUAUAUGGAAAUGAGCAAACCAGUAAUAUUUGAGGGAGGAGGCUAGCAGGCGGGGCCCAUGACUUGCAUCAUAGGAGCCUACACAACACAAAACACUGUUGCUGAUAUGUAGGUUUUAUUUUAUUUGUUUUUUAUCUUAUAUUUUGGAAAUGUACAUCCAGGUUUUUUCCCUUUAAUUUUUUUGGGGGGCCCCCAAGAGAGUGGAGCCCUAAACUAUAGCUUGUUUAGCUUAUACGUAAAUCUGGCACUGACAGUGACUGACAUAUGCACUGGAUAUAUAACUCAAGGUGCUUUGAUCAAAAUUAUGAGAGUCUCCGGUUGAAAACAGCAGAAACUGAUGUAUAAUGUACCCACGUUUCAAGGGGGUGGCAGUGGAAAUACAAUGCCCAAUGCCAACUACUCGGAUUGCACACUGCCACACAAAAGCAGGGCUGUCAGAGGGGAGAGACUGCCAGCUGUCGUGCUUUCACUGGCCCAGGUGGCAAUGGCUAGCGGCCAUGCUGAGGGGGGGCCCAGGCCAGGGUUGGCAGAGGCCUGUAGGUGGCGCUGUGCCAAAGGCCAACUCAAACCUGGCAAUGGGAAAAGCUGCCCCUCUGCCCUGGGCAAGUGCCCACCUCUCUCCCCGUUCCUGUUUCUUGUAUGUCAUGUUUCACUGGAUUGCAAGCUUUCAAGCAAGCAGUGCUUUUAAUGGGCUUUUGAUUUUGGUACAGUGUCUAGCAUAAAAUAUUUAACCUGCGACACCAUCAUCAUCAUGAGCAAAAUGCAACAAACACCAUGUUAGCACAGCAAAGGAGCACAUGCCAGCAUGUUUCAGUUAAUUGCCGCCAAAUGCUUGGGCAAAUAUCUGGGACUGAAUGAUAACUAAGUUAAUGCCAGAUGAACAGUUUGGGCGAAGGAGUCCCAAGAACUCUUCCCGGGAGCCAGCUGUCUUGUCUCAAAAGGCACAUUUUAUUUUUGAGAGUAUGAGUUGUAGGCGUGAUGGGAAGUUCCCCCUACAAAAUUUAAAAAACUGCAUUUUCUAUACUUUAUAAUAGACAUCACUACAAAAAAAUCACCAUGCAUUGAAAGAAACUGGAGAGUCAGAUUUUUCUUUUCUUUUCAGAGCUUAACAUUGCUAAGUUGAGCCUUAAAUAUUUCAGUGUGGCAUUUUGAACUGACAAGCAUGGAAAUGUGAAACCUGGAUGGCAAGUAGCUCCUGAUUACCCCCUGCUAUGUCCUAUGUUCAAAAAAGAAGCAGAAAAAAGAAAUGAAAACAAGAUGCUCCUCUAGAAGGUAAUAGAAUUACAUAAUCUUUGCUUUAAAAAUGCAUGCAAGAUAUCUCAGCCUGUCACAGGUAGAAGGUGUUUAUGGCACAUCUGGACAGAUGCAAAAGAGUUUGCAGGCAGCAGAGGUUAGGCCUCGGCUCCUACCAGCUUUGCUCUGCUGCCUGCUUCCCAACACAACCACCAGAGAAAAAGUCCAGCAAGGGGAUAUCAAAAAUUAUUUUAACAGAAAGCCCAACUGUUUUUUGGGCUAAGCUAACCUUCUUUUGGGUAUGUUAAGGGCAGUUUAAAAUCACAGGCCUGGUAUUUUGAACCAUAACUCCCAUUACCCCUAACUAGCAUAGCCAGUAGUCAGGAAUGAUGGGAGUUGUAGUCCAAAACAUUUGACCAGCACCAGGCUGGGGGAGGCAUAGGCGCUGGGUACCGCCCAAUUUCGGGGGGUGGGGGUGGCGCACAUGUCAUGUGGUGGGAGGAGGUCGCAGCUGUGAGUAGACCCAGUGGGGCUGCAGGUACACCCAAGAGUCCCAGGUACCAUAGAAGUCCUAGAAGGGUAGUGGGUGGUGUGAUAGGGGAGAUCCCCAGGAAAGACUGAAGUGGGGAAAAGCCACCCCUCCAACCCCAAAUCCUGAUGAUGAGAGUUGGCCUAUGCCCCACCCCCACAGACCUCUGCGCAUACAGUGAUGAUCUCUCCAUUAACUUGCAAAGAUGAAGGCAUAGAUCCAUGUGAAAAAUUUACACAGUUUUUGAUCUUUCUCCCCAAAUCACUGUGAUUGGAGUGGAGGGGAAAUCAUUCACUGUGACUGAAAUCUAGAUCUCAGCUUCUGGGUUCUUCCCCAACCAAACUGGCCUCUCUCCACGGUUGGGGGAUGCGUUUUUUCACAGGCAAAGGCACAGAGGCACUCAGAAACUGAAAAAGUCCCUGAUCAGCCUUGAGACAACUUUUGAAUGACACAAUCUGACCUGGAAACAUGAGAACCUUCCCUGAUUCAUCCCAAUUUGCCUUGUGAUUUGGAGUGCCCACAAAAUCAGUACCAACCCCUAAUAUAUGUAUAAAACCAGGACAGAACAGAAAACAACAUGCCACAGCCUAUUAACAUGCCGGUUAUGGAAAAUAUUCAUGACUCAAUAGUGCAUACAAUUGGAUUGACUCUAAAGCUACAGAGAGAAAAGCAUUUUGAAAUUUACAUUUGGAUUAUCUGCACUUAGACAAAUUCUCUUUGCAGCAAUAUUUCUGUCAGAAACAAAUGGGGGAGAAGCUGAUGCUAUUGUCAUAUUGCCAUGAAAUCUAAGUAGAGCUUUUGCUAAGUCAAACCUAAUGCACAUUACUUUCUAUGUCACACACACACACAGAGAGAGAGAGAGAGAGAGAGAGUGCUGAAUGGGAAAGAUGACUUGCAAAUUUAUUUCCAACAAAAUAGACCUGGAAUGUGUCCCAGAGCUCAGCACAUGCAAGAUGACUAAUGAUGUAGCACUCCUAACAGAUACUAUUAGUUUUGAAAGCCACCUACAGCGCUGGUAGUUUCAAACAGCUUGUGAUAUACAUAACAAGACACGCAGACGUGAAUUAGAUUCACUAAGGCAUUCCCUAUAAACAGAAACACAGGAUGAACCUUUACAUAUAAUUUAUCCAUUACUUCUGUUACGGAAAUUAUGGGGGGCGGGGCACAUCUUUAAAGUUAAAUGUUACAAAUAUUAUGCCUGAAUGUAUCCUUUCAACUUGACAGCUCAGGGAAGUUACCUAGCUUUAAAAAUAAUAUAAAAUCAACCCCUUUCCCAGUUUCCUCCAUUCCAAAGCUAUUUCCCCCUUGAAAAAGGACUCCAGGAAGUUCCCAGAGGUGACAAUUGCUGGUGUCAUUGUUAGCCAAAGGAAGCCAAAUCUCAUCACCUGAGUCGCCUCAGGAUCCAGACAUGCAAAGGAACUUCUAUUGUACUUUUGGGUGGUGGGUACUUAAGACAUAUUUGUCUAUGCUAAUCUUAUACCUGAGUCUUGCCCUGCCAUAUCUGCCUAUGCUAAUCUCGUACCAAGGACUUGUCUGGACAUGUUUGCCAAGGUUAACCCCUCCCCUUUUGUGACAUGUCAGUGAUGUAGCAAUGAUGUAGCAAUGAUGCUGUACGAAUUGUAUUCUGGGAUACGGUGGGAAAGUUUUAAAAGUCUGGUGACUGAGCUGCCUCACACCUAGAUUUUUCCGUAACACUUACCUCACAGGACUCUCAGAUUAGAUAGCAUGAAUUUAUGGUAUUCAUUGAUGGGUUGGGAUGCACAAGAUGGGUUGAGGUCUCAAUAGCAGUCACAUGCUGCCAGAAUAACAUAGGAACUGGGCAAGUAUCUCCACAUAAGGAAUUCCUCUAAGCGUUCACCAGCCUGGAGUGGACAUCUUAUUCCUGAAGGAGAAGGUUGUCCUAUACAUUUCUAUGAGCUUUGUAUGAUCUAACAGACGGCAGGGCUGCAUUGAAUAUUCAAUACUCACUUUGGAAAUAGGACAUUUAGCACACAGAAAAAUCGCCAAAAAUUAGCAACAGGAAUUCGUAGUCCGCCAAAUAUUUGCAGUUCCAAUGCUACUUGACAUUAAUUUUUUUCCCCUGGCUGUGACUGCAGUGCGGUGAGGGCAGAGGCACAGAACUGCCCUCCCCCUGCCCCUGGCAUCAUUGCAGUUUGCCGAGACAGGACUGGAGCAGGGGGUCAGCAGGGGCAGGGCUAGGUGGGUGCUUUGGUUCCUCAUCCUCCUGGGAAGAAAGGGCCACACGGAGUGCUACAGGGCUCUGUCCUGGAACCAUUGUUGUUCAAUGUCUUUAUAAACGACUUGGAUGAAGGAAUUGAGGGGAUGUCCCCACUAAAUGCUAGAAAUUGGGAAAUGAUCAGAUUUUGAUUCUUUGGAGUAUUGAAGUGAAGACUGGAGACCAGGCUAAGCUUUCUUUCCAAGCCAGGGCUUCACCUUGGAUAGAGGCAUGAACAUAACAAAAAGGUGUUGAUGGCCCAUCUAAGAGGAAUCUUGGGUCUGGGCAGACAGAGGUUUCCAGGGUAACUGGGAGUGAGGGGACAGGAAAAGAGCAUCUUUAGCAAGGUGUGCUGGGAAGAAGAAGCAGAAGAACAAAGAAUGAGAUCCUUCUUGGGCACGCUUGGAUUCCAGGGCUGCACUGCUGUGGGGAACAAGCCCCUCUUGAGAUGACCAUGCUGUAAGAUCAGGACUCCCUCCAUGCAGACUGAAGGUGAAAAUUGGUGAAUAAAUCAUAUUUUGUAAAGCUACAACAGGGUGAUGGCCUGGGACUCAGGCUCGGACUCGGAGCCAGAGGAGUCUCAGUCCACACCGGAUCCUUUGCCUCAGGUGGCAGCUAAACCUAGUCUGGGGCCUGAUUCUGAAGAGCCCCAGUCUGCACAGGUUCCUCUGCAACAACUCCAGCUGGGCUGAGUCAGGGGCCUGAGCCUGUACUGGCUCCAGAUGCGGGGAUGACCUUGUUGUCUCCAGCUGGGCAAUCACUUACAGCUGCUCCACUACCAGUUGGGUCAGGAGAGGCUGAGGCGGCCUCUGGGUCUAGUAACCCACCGACAUCUCCCAAGCUGCAGAGGCUGAGGUCUGAGAGAAGGAGAGACCUGAGUACCCGCAGGAGGAGUGCUCGCCUUCGGGCAAGACAGGGAGGUGAGUCACUGGGGGAUCAGGACCGGCCGUUACCCCGACAGAGAGAAAAGGCUGCUGGACCCUGCCUCUGGUUGCGGGAGCAACAUUGCUGUUUGCCAGAAGCUGCCUGGGAUCCUGUGCCUGACCUUGCCUGGUUUUCUGCCUCGUGUCCUGCCUUGGCCCUGUCGGACUGACUCCUAGUGGAACCCUUAGAUUCAGGACCGGACCUGGACCGCGUUACUUGGGUUACCCCCAGGCCCAGCACAGACAGUCUCCACUGUGUCUUCAAUUCUCCAAAGGAGCAAAAACCCUAGAUGAGUGCCUGGGACCUCCUGUAAUCUUGCUCCCACUCAACAGAGUGUGGGGGCAGUGCCCAACUUUUGUAACAAUAUACAAAAUACAAAUUCUAAAAAUCUGGUCUUUGGUGGUGGUGUGGUGUGGGGGAAGUAAAAUAAUAAUAAUUAAAAAAUGCACAUUUGCAUUUGCAGAUAAAAGUUCCAAACUUGCAAUGUCACUUUUCAGGAAAGUGAAACUAGCAAAUAUUUCACCCUAGCUGUUUAAGAAGCUCUGUCCUUUAUUAUUGUUAAUGCACCAGCAAAGGUAGCCAGCAGUGAAAAGAGGCAUCUUUUGAAGGUUGUGCUGACUACAUUAGAAGCAAGCAUUAAUUCUUUGCACUGCUGCAUAUUACAAUAAAGCCAAUUGGUUUCAGGUUGUGUUAGAAAUGAUGCAAUAUAAAUGCAAGUUGUACAAAAGAGAUUCAGCUUUAUGCCUCAUAAAGCAGACAGAAUGGAAAAUCAAUAUAUCUUUAUGCAAGUGAUAGAGUUUAGAAUUAAUCACUGUACUUGGGUAAAGUAGCAGACCAUUUUCCUAAGCAGAAAGAAGUCAGAGUAAGAAGGGCAAAGUAAUUAACACUGAACAGGUAUGGAGUGAGAGCCGAGUGGAAGAUUUUGCAGUUCAUGACAGGUUGCUUUGGUGCCAGAAGUACAGCUGUCAGCAAUCAAAAAAUUAGUUUUCAUAGAAAACUUUGGUUCAGGGAGAAAUGGUUUAUAAUUUGAGCAAAAAUGUUCAAUUUAAAACUUGGUAGCUGGAGCAUAAGAAAUUUAUUCUAAAGUUAUGAUUAUUUAUAUUUUUUUAAAAAUCCUUCACUGGGAUUGUAAGCCAGGUUGCCAUCUGUUGCCAACAAUGUUAUUUCAAGCUUUGUACUCAUAGAAUCAUAGAACUGUAGAAUUGGAAGGGACCCUGGGGAUCAUCUAGUCCAACCCGCUGCAAUGCAGGAAUACAGUGGUACCUCGGGUUAAGAACUUAAUUCGUUCUGGAGGUCUGUUCUUAACCUGAAACUGUUCUUAACCUGAAGCACCACUUUAGCUAAUGGGGCCUCCUGCUGCCACUGCGCCGCCGGAGCACGAUUUCUGUUCUCAUCCUGAAGCAAAGUUCUUAACCCAAGAUACUAUUUCUGGAUUAGCAGAGUCUGUAACCUGAAGCGUAUGUAACCUGAGGUACCACUGUAUGCAGCUGCCCCAAACGGAGAUCUAACCUGCAACCUUUAUGUUGUCAGCACCAAUGCUCUAAUCAACUGUGAGCUAUAGACAGUAAGUUCAUUCUCUUGUGGCCUUAACUGUAUAGUCAUUUCCAUUGAUUGGCUGUAUACUACUUAUUUAUCUUACUAGUAAUGCUAAAUGAGAGGAUUGUGUAGUGAAACUGGCUUUUUCCCAAACUGAUGGGUUAUUUAUUUAUUUAUUUAUUUAUUUGCUUCCUUGCUAAUCAUAAGAAAUAAUCUUUGGUGCACCCCUAACAAUAUAACGUGAUAAUUGUCCCCAAAAAACAUGUGUUUUCAAGUGCCACUCCCUGUUUUGCUGCUGCUACUUUUAAAAAUGUUUUGCACUAUACUGCCCUGGAAUCUUGGGAUGAAGGGCGGUAUACAAAUUUAAUAAAUAAUCAGAUAGCUAAAACUGCAAAUCUGGGAGAGGUUCAGAAAAGGACAACCAAAAUGAUCGUGCAACUCCUUUGUGGGUAUUUGGGGCUUUUCAGAGAAAAGUCAUGUAAGAUGGGACCUGACAGAGGUGUUAAAUUCUACAAAACAUUGAAGCUCAAUGUUAGAAGACUCGGGAGGACAGAUGAAAAGAAGUACUUAAUCAUAGAAUCAUAUAAUUCUAGAGUUGAAAGUCAUCUAGUCCAACCCCCUGCAAUGCAGGAAUCUCAGCUAAAACAUCCAUGACAGAUGGCCAUCCAACCUCUGCUUAAAAACCUCCAAGGAAGGAGAGUCCACCACCUCCCAAGGGAGACCGUCCCACUGCCGAACAGCUCAUGGUGUCAGAAAGGUCUUCUUCCAGUUGUGUAGUCUGAAUCUCCUUUCUUGUAACUUGAUUCCAUUGGUUUGGUCCUACUCCGGAUCAGGAGAAGACAAGCUUGCUCCAUCUUCUUCACAGCAUAGCUAGUUCACGGCCUGUUGAAGGAUGAUGCCCAUCAACAGACUAACUAAUGAUGGAAUUCACUGCCGUGGAAAUGGUGACAUAUGCCAACUCAGAUGGCUCUAAAUGGGAUUAGACCAAUUCACAGAGAAGCAGCUUAUCAGUGGCCUACUGUAUAUGAUGGCUAUGUUCUGUCUCCAUUGUCGGAGGCGCCACUUCCUGGAAGUCACAAGCAAGGAGAAUGCUGCUGCCCUCAGGUCCUGCUUGGUCACUAUGUGACCAGAAUGCUGGACCAGAUGGGCCUUGGGUCUGAGUCAGCAGGGCUCCCCUCACCUUCUCACGAAAGCACAGCAUGCAGAAGCUCACAGCUUCUAAAUGAGCUAUUCCUCUGUGUUAGCUUUUCCGAUAAUGAAUAGCAUUUAGCACCAUUUUGACUUAAUUACCCAAGCACUUGCAAACAUUUAUUAACUUAAGCUUUUUAUUAUUAAUUGUGAUGCACAAUAACAAAAGGACUUAUUACAGUAGAAAGGAAACAAACCAUUAAUGACCCACAAUAUAUAAAGAUGUAAUUCCAAAAUGAUUACUGUUUGCUUGCAUCCUUUGGGAAGUGUCAGAAGAGAUUGGUAUAUAUACUGUAGACUAUUUGCUGAAGGUUGUCAGGUGGGAGAGUUUUAACCCUUUCCUAGUCCUCCUGUCUGGCUUCUCUGUUCCUCCUCCCCAUUCCCCGAUUCACAGGUCAUCGAGUGGCAGGGUGACUCUUGGGCCUCAGUGCUUUGCUUCCAAAAGCCAAACACUCUGUGCCCAAAGAGGAGCAUGAACUGCACCACCAGCACUACCCCCCAGAAAAUGAAAGCUGCAUUUGCCUUGGGAAGUGGGGAAAGAAGCAAAGUUCCUCAUUUCCCCCUUUCUUUUUCUCCUUCCCGUAACAGAGCUUCCAGUUUGCAGGUGAAGCGUAGCUAUCUUCAGGAAGGGGAGGGGGACGGUAGGACAGACAAUAUUCUUCCCACAUACCAUCCUUUGCAGGGCCCAAUCUACUCAGUGUCUGGCAGUGGGCAGAUUUGUUCCACCUAAAACCUUAUAAUAAUCCACAUCACAAAUUUAAAGCACAUUCCACAUACUUGACCUCUCCCAAAGAAUACUGGGAACUGUAGUUUGUUAAAGGUACUGGGGAUUAUAGCUGUGAGAAAGAAACUCCAGCUCCCAGUAUUCUUUGGGGAAGCCAUGUGCUUUAACUGUGUGUUGGCUGCACAUUAUGGUAUGGCUCUGCCCCUUAUCCUUAACGCAACAUUGUCCUUUCCCCCAUAGAAACAAAUAACAGCAGCCAAUUAUAUGGGCAAAAAUGCCCCUGGUGAUCCCAGUGUUCUGGCCUCCUUUCCACUUCAGUGGCAGCUUUCUUUCUUGGUUUUUGCUCCCCAGAACUUCAGUGGGAGCCACUGAGAAGAGAGUCAACCCCAAAACUUCUUGACUCCAUCAUAGACAUGAUUUCUUUCUCAGGCUUCUUCCAUCUGAUAGGAUGCUGGGAGAGUGAGGUGGAACAUUGAGAGCUGGCUUUGAGAGAAAUGAAGACACCAAGCAAUUCUCUAAAUCACACAAGCAAAAUACCCACUGUAUGUUGGCAGUACCUUUGUUUUCGAUUACAAUCCUAUUAUAAAGACGGGCAUUAUUCAGAGAGCUG